GAUUUCAACUGAAAAAGUCAUGAACACAAAAGUUGUAGAACUGAUCGGGAUCUACAAAUUUUAUUUUGGUCAUUUGUUCAUUUGACAAAGUGAUAGUAACGUUGUGCACAAAAUUUACACAUCUCUCUUAUAAUUUAUGAAACCAUACGAGACCAUACGAGAGAUAUGUAAAAUUUGUGAACAAUGUUACUAUCGCUUUGUCGGAUAAAUAAAUGACCAAAAUAAAAAUUGUAGAUCUAGAUGGAUUAUACAUAUUUGUUGUUGAUGACUUUUUCAGUUGAAGUC
rnacentral:pre_miRNA from 1 species